AGUGAACGCUGGCGGCAGGCCUAACACAUGCAAGUCGAACGGUAGUACAGAGGAGCUUGCUCCUUGGGUGACGAGUGGCGGACGGGUGAGGAAUACAUCGGGAUCUACCUUUUCGUGGGGGAUAACGUAGGGAAACUUACGCUAAUACCGCAUACGCCCUACGGGGGAAAGCGGCGGACCGCAAGGCGUCGCGCGAUGAGGUGAACCGAUGUCCGAUUAGCUAGUUGGCGGGGUAAGAGCCCACCAAGGCGACGAUCGGUAGCUGAUCUGAGAGGAUGAUCAGCCACACUGGAACUGAGACACGGUCCAGACUCCUACGGGAGGCAGCAGUGGGGAAUAUUGGACAAUGGGCGCAAGCCUGAUCCAGCCAUGCCGCGUGGGUGAAGAAGGCCUUCGGGUUGUAAAGCCCUUUUGUCCGGAAAGAAAAGCAUUCGGUUAAUACCCGGGUGUGAUGACGGUACCGGAAGAAUAAGCACCGGCUAACUUCGUGCCAGCAGCCGCGGUAACAC
rnacentral:rRNA from 1 species